rnacentral:tRNA from 1 species
GCGAAAGUGGCGGAACUGGCAGACGCGCGAGACUUAGGAUCUCGUGGCCUUCGGCCGUGGGGGUUCGAGUCCCCCCUUUCGCA